rnacentral:rRNA from 1 species
AUGGUUUAUGCAAUGGUACAAGGCUUAUCAUUAAGGCAUUUCAAGAGAACGCUAUUGAUGCAUAAAUUAUUGGCGGACAAUAUGCUGGGAAGCGAGUGUUCCUUCCACGAAUUCCUCUCUAUCCUUCAGAGGAUGAUGUUCUCCCCUUCAAGUUUAAAAGAAAGCAAUUUCCAAUUCAGCUUAGUUUUGCCAUGA